GAAAAAUGCAAAGAUGGUAAUUGGGAAAGCCUCUCUGAGACUCUUCAAACAGAAAUUGAAAUUCUACAAAUGAAUUUAGCACAAAAGAAGUCUUCAGGGAAGUGAAUAAUACGUGGCAUAUAAUCUGGAGUGUCAUAGAAGCAAGUCUGAGAAUUUUUAAAUUGUUUUACUCAGGUUCUAUCAGAUAUGCUUCUAUUUUCUGUUUGAUUAAUUCACAGUUUGUAUGUGCCUUUACUUUUCACUAAAAUAAAAUUUGAUUACUUUACAAGUGAGGGGAGGUUUGUGUUUUAUCUUCACAUUCAACAGCUGUCCCUCUCUCUGUGGGCUCC
rnacentral:lncRNA from 12 species